GGAAGACCUGAAUGAAGCUAUUCCUGAUCGCAAGUCGGAUCCCACAAUACAUGUUCCACUAUUAUCUCCUGGCAAAGUAGAACCGGAAUUGGUGCCAGAAAUUCCAUCUGAAGUUGGAGUAACUAAUGAAAUUUACUCUCCUUUGUUAGAAACAGAUCAACUUUCUCCCCCUAUAUCAACUGCUGCAACUCCUGAAGAUGCAUGUGAGGACUUGCCUGCACUUCCGCCAUUCAUCGAACUGACUGAUGAGCAGCAAAGAAAUAUGGGG
rnacentral:misc_RNA from 1 species